rnacentral:lncRNA from 1 species
UAUGCAUGGUGUGAGAAGUGGGGUAACAUUAGCUUCCAUAAAUGGCAAUAGUGUGCCAUGUGAUACAUAAUAUUAAAAAAGCUAGUUGAAAGAUAUUAUUUGAAUUUUUUAGUCCCAUAUGAAUACUCAAUAUCUCUCCGAUGAAUAAUUGACAUGAGAUUAAAUACACAUCCGCAUAAAUCUUCACAUAAUUCCCCCAU